rnacentral:rRNA from 1 species
UACAGAGGUCUCAAGCGUUGUUCGGAUUCAUUGGGCGUAAAGGGUGCGUAGGUGGCGGGUAAGUCCGUUGUGAAAGUCAAAGGCUCAACCUUUGAACGCCGAUGGAUACUGCCGGGCUAGAGUCCGAAGAGGCGAGUGGAAUUCCCGGUGUAGCGGUGAAAUGCGCAGAUAUCAGGAGGAACACCGGUGGCGAAGGCGGAUCUCUGGGCCUGUCCUGACGCUGAGGCGCGAAAGCUAGGGGAGCGAACAGG